UGAUGUUUUUGGAGACAAGUACGCUGAUGAGAGAAUGUGGAAGAGGCUUUUGUACAGUGUGCAAGAAAAAUACUUAACAAAAUUGAAUAAGUGGGCCCAGUGAGCUGCAGGAGGAUGCAGGGACUGCAGGGCUGUCACAGGCACUGACGGAGCAGGGUUUCCCUCCUGGUGGUGCUGACCUGUCUGGCUGCCGAGAGCCGAUCAGAAGCGCCGCCUCCCUGUCUGCCGAGCCUGAGGUCCAGUCUGUUCUGGAUGGAGCAGGGCCCUGAGCUGAGGCCACACCCUGAGAACUCAGAACUGAGGGAGCAGAUGGAGGAAGGGGAGCCGGCAGGUUGGGGGAUGAGAAUGACCCAAACAAGGACACGGGAACGGUGGUGCAGGUGGACACACACGGGGUGAGAAUGAGGACAAAUUGGGUUUAGAGAUCAGGAGUCACUGAGAGACGCCUGUCAUCACCCAAACCCUCCAGGGCCAGCCUGGACAGAGCAGUGGGGAUGGGAGAGGAGCUCAGGGCACUGGGGUCCUAGGCACCUGGCCAAGGACACCCACAGGCUGGACUCAGAGCUGGUUCACACUGAGGGAAGCACCAACCCCAAGAGGAGGAAGAAGUGACCGUGAGACCCUGCCCAGCUCCAGCAGCCUCGUCCUUGGGGCUGCCCUGGCAGUGGACGCCCUCCAGGUCAGGGUGGGCUGAGCAGGAGAAGGGUGGACAUGCUGCUCUAGGCCAGUGACCCGGGGACAGGGGACCCUUGCACAUGAAGUAGUGACACUUGGCUAUUCUCUGUGCCUUUCAGUUGAGAAAGGUCUGGUGGCAGCCCAGGGAAUGGGUGGAGAGGUCACAGACACGUCAUCCCCAUGACGCAGUGAACAGGAAGGGAAUUCCUGAGAGCAGUCCCGGUGUCACCAGACCCCCACAGGGGACUGUCCCUGAGUUCUGAUACUGUAGGGCAGGGGUCUCUCUACAGAAGGAGACGUGCAGCUCCCUGGCAGGAAGGAGGGUGUCCCUCACAGAACACUCAGGGAAGGAGUGUAGACGGGGUGCUGGAGUCAGAAACCACUUUU